rnacentral:lncRNA from 1 species
CCCUGACCUCCCUGGCACGGGUGGCCACUGGCAUUUUAUUACCUGUGCUUGUAGCCAGCAAAAUCAACAAGUAAGACCAUUACGGAGAAAUCCAGAAAGAAACAGACACACUGCAGCCUGAGUUCUUCUCAGAUGGGAAAGUCACCCAUUCGCCUUCAAUUCCAGAAGAGCUCAUCCCCAAAAGAAGACAACGCUGCACCUGAAUCAGUCAAUUGGUAUGAAUCCACCACAGGAAUGACAGCAAGGAACAGAUCAACAAUCAAAUAUCAGACCGUCUGUCCGCAAGAGUGAAGCUGAGCUGGUGGUCAGGGACCACUCUGACCAAUGCUGGAUGGCCCAGGACAUCUUUUGCCCCCCUGGUAAGCCAAGUCCUAAAGUCAGGACCUCAAGGACGGACUCCAAGGGGUCUGGGGAGGGGAGCAAUACGUGGAUGUAACCCUUAUCUGUUCCCCUUUCCAGUGCGGCCACCCCGAAUAAUCUCCAUUCUCUGCUUUUCACAUCACACAUCUCUGACUGACUGAGCCUCGCUGGGAGCAGGGCUUUUUUGUUGUUGUUGGUGGCGGUUUUGGUUUUUUGAGACAGUAGCCUCACGUAGCCCAAGCUGACCUUGAACCUGCUACGUAGCGAGGAUGACUGGGAACUCGGGCUCCUUAGGCUCCUCCCUCAAGGACUGAGAUUACCAGUGUUCACUACCUCACCUGAUGUACGCAGUACAGGGAGUGCCAGAGCUUCACACAUGAUAGGCAAGUGCUCUACCAACUGAGCUAGUACUAUCCCUGGAC